rnacentral:rRNA from 1 species
UACGAAGGGGGCUAGCGUUGUUCGGAAUUACUGGGCGUAAAGCGCACGUAGGCGGGUCUGUAAGUAGAGGGCGAAAUCCCAGGGCUCAACCCUGGAACUGCCUUCUAGACUGCAGGCCUCGAGGUCAGGAGAGGCGAGUGGAAUACCGAGUGUAGAGGUGAAAUUCGUAGAUAUUCGGUGGAACACCAGUGGCGAAGGCGACUCGCUGGACUGAUACUGACGCUGAGGUGCGAAAGCGUGGGGAGCAAACAGG